rnacentral:sRNA from 1 species
AUCAACGAUAUACCCCGGUCUCCGGAGACCCA